CGAAAAGCGCUGAAGAGACGAGUAGACAGAUAUCAUUCAUGACAGAGAGCUCCGGGAGCUGUGAAGGAGUAUGAAUGGAUGUGUUGAAACAAACCUCUUAGCUUCGCAUCGGAAUCAUGAAAAACGAGGAUGAUGCGGCGGAUACUCCUGUUACCGAGUAAGCUUUGUACCCGGCAAGAGGCCGGCACCAAACCGAAUUGAGGUGGCAUAGCGGGCUGUUUCCCGUCCUCAAG
rnacentral:ncRNA from 1 species